rnacentral:rRNA from 1 species
GAUGAACGCUGGCGGCGUGCCUAAUACAUGCAAGUCGAGCGAACGGACGAGAAGCUUGCUUCUCUGAUGUUAGCGGCGGACGGGUGAGUAACACGUGGAUAACCUACCUAUAGGACUGGGAUAACUUCGGGAAACCGGAGCUAAUACCGGAUAAUAUUUUGAACCGCAUGGUUCAAAAGUGAAAGACGGUCUUGCUGUCACUUAUAGAUGGAUCCGCGCUGCAUUAGCUAGUUGGUAAGGUAACGGCUUACCAAGGCAACGAUGCAUAGCCGACCUGAGAGGGUGAUCGGCCACACUGGAACUGAGACACGGUCCAGACGCCUACGGGAGGCAGCAGUAGGGAAUCUUCCGCAGUGGGCGAAAGCCUGACGGAGCAACGCCGCGUGAGUGAUGAAGGUCUUCGGAUCGUAAAACUCUGUUAUUAGGGAAGAACAUAUGUGUAAGUAACUGUGCACAUCUUGACGGUACCUAAUCAGAAAGCCACGGCUAACUACGU